AGAAAACAAGAGAAUGUGUGAGAAAGUUCAACUUUGAGCUGAAAAUUGGGGGAUUAACAGUGAAUUGAAGAAGAAAUUCAGUAGAAGAAGAAGAGAAGCUUAAUUUCACCAAGUAGUUCAAGAAUUCAAGACUUUAUGUUGAGCUUUGUUAAGGAUCUUUGGAGUCAAGCUUACUGCGAGCAAUAUCUUUGUAAAGUUAUGUUUGUAUGUAUCUUUGAAAAAUGUUAUGAAAGUGAUAUUUUAUGAAAUUCAGAAUUUGUAUGAAUGAAUGAAUGUCCUUUUUGUUAAAUGUGCUUGUGGCAUCCUCUAGUGAGUUCCAGCCAGUGGGAGACGUAUAUGUACCAUGGCCUUUUGAUUUGUAGAGAUCUCCCUUUGAUUCGCAAACUUGAAUGGUCCCUUUAUAUAGACCAGAAUGGUCCAUUUGAUUUAGGCCUAAUUUGGCCCUUUGCUUUACUCUAUUGGAUGUUACCACGCAUUAUGUUUUGAGAAUGGAAUUUAUUCAUAACAAA